rnacentral:tRNA from 1 species
GUCUCGUUAGCUCAGCUGGCAGAGCAACUGACUCUUAAUCAGUGGGUCGUGGGUUCGAGCCCCUCACGGGACACCA